ACCCAACUGACGAGUCCCAAAUACGAUGAAACGUAUGUUCUGGAU
rnacentral:hammerhead_ribozyme from 1 species